rnacentral:lncRNA from 1 species
CUGCCCCUUUGACCCCAGUUCCGCAGAACCCCCGGCUAACUCUGUGUAGUGUGAUCUGUCAUCGAAAUUUAAUUUGGUUUAUUUAAUUAGCAGAAUUUAAAUAAAUAAUAAUGUCUUUACUAUUAUUUUCUUGUGGUGAUCGGUUAUGGCCUUAGUUUUCCUUUAUUUUGUUUUGAGAUUUUAAAAUACGACCUGCGUGUCGUGCCUCUCUUUUAAUCUCUUAAUGUAAC